rnacentral:rRNA from 1 species
AACGAACGCUGGCGGCAGGCCUAACACAUGCAAGUCGAACGUGAAGCCACCUUCGGGUGGUGGAAAGUGGCAGACGGGUGAGUAACACGUGGGAACGUACCCUUCGGUUCGGAAUAACCCAGGGAAACUUGGGCUAAUACCGGAUACGUCCGAAAGGAGAAAGAUUUAUCGCCGAAGGAUCGGCCCGCGUCGGAUUAGCUAGUUGGUGAGGUAACGGCUCACCAAGGCGACGAUCCGUAGCUGGUCUGAGAGGAUGAUCAGCCACACUGGGACUGUGACACGGCCCAGACUCCUACGGGAGGCAGCAGUGGGGAAUAUUGGACAAUGGGCGCAAGCCCGAUCCAGCCAUGCCGCGUGAGUGAUGAAGGCCCUAGGGUUGUAAAGCUCUUUCGCCAGGGACGAUAAUGACGGUACCUGGAUAAGAAGCCCCGGCUAACUUCGUGCCAGCAGCCGCGGUAAUACGAAGGGGGCAAGCGUUGUUCGGAAUCACUGGGCUUAAAGCGUACGUAGGCGGAUUUGC